rnacentral:rRNA from 1 species
CCUGUGGACGAGCGGCGGACGGGUGAGUAACACGUGGGCAACCUGCCUGUAGAUUGGGAUAACCCCGGGAACCGGGGCUAAUACCGGAUAAUACUUUUCGUUGCAUAACGAGAAGUUGAAAGGCGGCUUUUAGCUGUCACUUACAGAUGGGCCCGCGGCGCAUUAGCUAGUGGUAAGGUAACGGCUUACCAAGGCGACGAUGCGUAGCCGACCUGAGAGGG